UCUACAUGUGAUUGAAGAUAUGAGUGCCUAAAGUAGGUAGGGUAUCUUAUUACAGAAUUCAUUUGGUUAAGCAAUAACACUUUCCUCUCUUUCAGUCCUGCCCCUGUUGAAGCAACUUCAGCAAACUGUCCUGAAGUUUUACUUCUCAAGUGAAGCCCAAUGAAAUUUUUGAUACUUGGCAGCCCACAAGUCAUGAAUGACACAUUGUGACUCACGGACAUCUUGGCUUUUUGCAUCCUGUACACAGACACAUGACGAAGACGACUGAUGAGGCUUUUUGAAGCAAAAAGAUGAGUUUGAGUCCCAAAUGAGCACUAACAAACACACUUGGGGAUGAUGAAGUAUACCUGAGUAAUACCUAUAAAGUCAACGAUUUAAAUGGGGAUAUUUGAUUUCCUCUAACCAAAUAACAGAUUACUGUACUUCCUUUUGUGGUUGCCAUGUGUAGUGUGUACAUUGUACACACUCCACAUCCCUCCUUGAUCUACCACUGAACUUCAUCCCCAACCCCACAUACCCUUUUGGUGGCACUGGGGAUUAAACCCAGGGCUUUGACACUAACCUACAUCCCUAGCCUUUUUCAAAUUUUAUUUUAUUUAAUUUUAAUUUUUUUUUUUUUUUGGUACCAGGGUUUGAACUCUGGACCUUGCACUUGCAAAGCAUGGGCCAGAACCACUGAGCUAAAUUCCCAGCCCUUCAAAUUUUAUUUUGAGACAGGGUCUUACUAAAUUGCCUAGGUUGGCCUUGAAUUUGUGAUCCUCCUACCUUAGCCUCCUGAGUGGCUGGGAUUACAGGUGUGUGCCACCACUAUUUACUCACAUUGGAAUUCUCUUAAGUGUAUUGGUCCAAACAAAAAGUUAGGAAACCAUGUAUAGAUGGGAAAGUGUAAUUAAAACCCUUAAUUUGGCUGGAUUUUGUUUUUCAGCGAAUGAGCUAAGUGAAAAGGAAAAUAUCUAAAGAAUAUAAGGUCCUACCAAUAAUCUAAUUUUUUUUGGUACCAGGGAAUCGAACUCAGGACCUUGUGCUUGUGAGGCAGGAUUUGGAACCACUGAGCUAAAUCCCCAGCCCAAUAAUCUAAUUUUUGAAAAAGACAAAACUAUGCAAAAUUUCCAAAUGAAGUCAAAAGGGCUACCUCAGAGGGUUUGUGAAGAGCCUGGCAAUGUUCCACACCUUGGUAUAAUAAAAAGUUCCUGCUGCUGUGAGGCUUAUAGCCCAUAGUAAAAGACAAGUAAAGACAUAAAUUUUAGGAUGAGAGGUGAUAAGUAACAAGAAGAGAUACAAAGUGAAGAAAAGGACUAGAGAAUGACUGGGCAGGGUAGGAGAUGGCGUCUAUGACAGCCUCCUACAGGUGGGAUGAGCUUUGGAUGGGUGGCAAGUGCUUCCUUGUUUGAGAAGCAGGAGGACUGGAGUGUCUGGUGUAGAGAGAAAGAGAGGGAACUCAGGAGGCGUUCUGAAGAUAUGGGCCAGUGAGUGUCACCUAUGACCUCAGAAGCCAUGUGACAAUUUUGAGUUUUAUUCUGAGAAAGAUGGGAACCAAAGAGGGGUCACCAGCCUACACACUCUGACAAUCCAUCUGUCCCCAGCAAUCCCAUUGUAAUCUCUUAUCUGUAAUCUCUUAUUGUUCGUCGAGAUGAUGUAGAGUCCUAAACAG
rnacentral:lncRNA from 1 species